AGUGAACGCUGGCGGUAGGCCUAACACAUGCAAGUCGAACGGCAGCACAGGAGAGCUUGCUCUCUGGGUGGCGAGUGGCGGACGGGGGAGGAAUACAUCGGAAUCUACCUUUUCGUGGGGGAUAACGUAGGGAAACUUACGCUAAUACCGCAUACGACCUACGGGUGAAAGUGGGGGACCGCAAGGCCUCACGCGAUUAGAUGAGCCGAUGUCCGAUUAGUUAGUUGGCGGGGUAAUGGCCCACCAAGGCGACGAUCGGUAGCUGGUCUGAGAGGAUGAUCAGCCACACUGGAACUGAGACACGGUCCAGACUCCUACGGGAGGCAGCAGUGGGGAAUAUUGGACAAUGGGCGCAAGCCUGAUCCAGCCAUACCGCGUGGGUGAAGAAGGCCUUCGGGUUGUAAAGCCCUUUUGUUGGGAAAGAAAUCCUAUCGGUUAAUAACCGGUGGGGAUGACGGUACCCAAAGAAUAAGCACCGGCUAACUUCGUGCCAGCAGCCGCCGUAAGAC
rnacentral:rRNA from 1 species